GACUGCGUAGUUCAACGGAUAGAGCGGCCCGCCGCCCGAUAGGAGUUUCCUAAACUCUGGAUAUGGGUCCGGGGUCGCGCUCGACCGAUUCCUGUCGCGGUCA
rnacentral:tRNA from 1 species